AUUGAACGCUGGCGGCAGGCCUAACACAUGCAAGUCGAAUGGUAACAGGAAACAGCUUGCUGUUUCGCUGACGAGUGGCGGACGGGUGAGUAAUGUCUGGGAAACUGCCUGAUGGAGGGGGAUAACUACUGGAAACGGUAGCUAAUACCGCAUAACGUCGCAAGACCAAAGAGGGGGGACCUUCGGGCCUCUUGCCAUCAGAUGUGCCCAGAUGGGAUUAGCUAGUAGGUGGGGUAACGGCUCACCUAGGCGACGAUCCCUAGCUGGUCUGAGAGGAUGACCAGCCACACUGGAACUGAGACACGGUCCAGACUCCUACGGGAGGCAGCAGUGGGGAAUAUUGCACAAUGGGCGCAAGCCUGAUGCAGCCAUGCCGCGUGUAUGAAGAAGGCCUGGUGUAAGUAC
rnacentral:rRNA from 1 species